GAUGAACGCUGGCGGCGUGCCUAAUACAUGCAAGUCGAGCGAACAGACGAGGAGCUUGCUCCUCUGACGUUAGCGGCGGACGGGUGAGUAACACGUGGAUAACCUACCUAUAAGACUGGGAUAACUUCGGGAAACCGGAGCUAAUACCGGAUAACAUGUUGAACCGCAUGGUUCAACAGUGAAAGACGGUUUUGCUGUCACUUAUAGAUGGAUCCGCGUCGCAUUAGCUAGUUGGUAAGGUAACGGCUUACCAAGGCAACGAUGCGUAGCCGACCUGAGAGGGUGAUCGGCCACACUGGAACUGAGACACGGUCCAGACUCCUAAGGGAGGCAGCAGUAGGGAAUCUUCCGCAAUGGGCGAAAGCCUGACGGAGCAACGCCGCGUGAGUGAAGAAGGUCUUCGGAUCGUAAAACUCUGUUAUUAGGGAAGAACAAAUGUGUAAGUAACUAUGCACGUCUUGACGGUACCUAAUCAGAAAGCCACGGCUAACUACGUG
rnacentral:rRNA from 1 species